rnacentral:rRNA from 1 species
AGAUGGGAGCUUGCUCCCUGAUGUUAGCGGCGGACGGGUGAGUAACACGUGGGUAACCUGCCUGUAAGACUGGGAUAACUCCGGGAAACCGGGGCUAAUACCGGAUGGUUGUUUGAACCGCAUGGUUCAAACAUAAAAGGUGGCUUCGGCUACCACUUACAGAUGGACCCGCGGCGCAUUAGCUAGUUGGUGAGGUAACGGCUCACCAAGGCAACGAUGCGUAGCCGACCUGAGAGGGUGAUCGGCCACACUGGGACUGAAACACGGCCCAGACUCCUACGGGAGGCAGCAGUAGGGAAUCUUCCGCAAUGGACGAAAGUCUGACGGAGCAACGCCGCGUGAGUGAUGAAGGUUUUCGGAUCGUAAAGCUCUGUUGUUAGGGAAGAACAAGUACCGUUCGAAUAGGGCGGUACCUUGACGGUACCUAACCAGAAAGCCACGGCUAACUACGUGCCAGCAGCCGCGGUAAUACGUAGGUGGCAAGCGUUGUCCGGAAUUAUUGGGCGUAAAGGGCUCGCAGGCGGUUUCUUAAGUCUGAUGUGAAAGCCCCCGGCUCAACCGGGGAGGGUCAUUGGAAACUGGGGAACUUGAGUGCAGAAGAGGAGAGUGGAAUUCCACGUGUAGCGGUGAAAUGCGUAGAGAUGUGGAGGAACACCAGUGGCGAAGGCGACUCUCUGGUCUGUAACUGACGCUGAGGAGCGAAAGCGUGGGGAGCGAACAGGAUUAGAUACCCUGGUAGUCCACGCCGUAAACGAUGAGUGCUAAGUGUUAGGGGGUUUCCGCCCCUUAGUGCUGCAGCUAACGCAUUAAGCACUCCGCCUGGGGAGUACGGUCGCAAGACUGAAACUCAAAGGAAUUGACGGGGGCCCGCACAAGCGGUGGAGCAUGUGGUUUAAUUCGAAGCAACGCGAAGAACCUUACCAGGUCUUGACAUCCUCUGACAAUCCUAGAGAUAGGACGUCCCCUUCGGGGGCAGAGUGACAGGUGGUGCAUGGUUGUCGUCAGCUCGUGUCGUGAGAUGUUGGGUUAAGUCCCGCAACGAGCGCAACCCUUGAUCUUAGUUGCCAGCAUUCAGUUGGGCACUCUAAGGUGACUGCCGGUGACAAACCGGAGGAAGGUGGGGAUGACGUCAAAUCAUCAUGCCCCUUAUGACCUGGGCUACACACGUGCUACAAUGGACAGAACAAAGGGCAGCGAAACCGCGAGGUUAAGCCAAUCCCACAAAUCUGUUCUCAGUUCGGAUCGCAGUCUGCAACUCGACUGCGUGAAGCUGGAAUCGCUAGUAAUCGCGGAUCAGCAUGCCGC